UGUUAACUCAUUUAGCUCCCUGCACUUUUUAUUUUGUAAAGAUUUUAUUUACUUAUUUGUCAGAGAGAGAGAGAGCGAGCCAGCACAGGCAGGGGAAGCAGCAGGCUCCUCGCUGAGCAAGGAACCUGGGACUCCAUCCCAGGACCCUGGGAUUAUGACCUGAGCCAAAGGCCGACACUUAUCCAAUUGAGCCACCCAGAUAUCCCCAGUUUCCUGAUACUCCUAUGAGAAAAGUUUAUUUUACAGAUGAGAAAACCAAGAGAGCCAGUGUAUGCAAGGGUGAGGAGGGGCAGAGGAUGAAGGAGAGAGAAAAUGUCAAACAGGGCUUAAUCUCAUGCCUCUGAGUCAUGACCUGAGCCAAAAUGAAGAGUUGGGCACUCAAUCGAGUGAGC
rnacentral:lncRNA from 1 species